AAGCAGCCCAGCUGAUGUGCGCAUACACCAGUGCAUGCAGCAUGGGUGACAAGCAAGAGAAGGUGGAAGCCAUUGUACAGAAGGAAAGCUAUGAUGUCACUAUCAUGGAAGCAUGGAGGGAUGACUUGCAUGACUGGAAUGCUGCAAUGGAUGGUUACUUGCUCUUCAGAAGAGAUAGGCAAGGGUAGUGGUUGCUCUGUAUAUGAGGGUCCCGGCUCCUCACUCACUGGAGAGGUCCUUGAUGACUGGAAGCUGGUCAGUGUGGCCAUAAGAAGGGCCAAAAGGAGGAUCUGGGAAGCUACAGGCUGGUCAGCCUGACCUUGGAACCUGUCAAGGUUAUGGAACAGAUCUUGAGCACCAUCACAUGGCACCUACAGAAUGGCCAGGGGAUCAGGCACAGCCAGCAGGUGUUUAGCCAGACCAACCUGAUCUCCUUUUAUGACCAGAGAUAAGAAUCAUACGGUGACCUACCUGGUGAAGGAGGAAAAGGCUGUGAAUGUUGUCCACUUGGAUUUCAGCAAGGCCUUGGACACUGUCUCCCACGGCACCCUCCUGGGAAAGCUGGCAGCCCACGGCUUGGACAGGAGCACUCUUUGCUGGGUUAGGAACUGGCUGGAUGGCCGGGCCCAGAGAGUGCUGGUGAGCAGUGCUGCAUCCAGCUGGCGGCCAGUCACUAGUGUGCCCCCAGGGAUCUGUGUUGGUGCCAGUCCAGUACUGAUGAUCUGGAUGAGGGGACUAAGUCCACCAUUGGCAAGUUUGCAGAUGACACUGAGUGUGCAUUGAUCUGCUGGAGGGUAGGAGGGCUCUCCAGAGGGACCCAGACAGGCUGGAUAGUUGGACUGAAUCCAAUGAUAUGAGUGUGCCAGGUCCUGCACUUUGGCCACAACAACUCCCUGCAGUGCUACAGGCUGAGGUCAGAGCGGCUGGUCAGAGGCCAGGCAGAAAGGGCUGACAGAGUACUGAACAUGAGCUAACAGUGAGUCCUGCUGGCCAAGAAGGCCAAUGGCAUCCUGGCCUGUAUCAGCAACAGUGUGGCCAGCAGGAGCAGGGCAGUGACUGUCCCCCUUCACACAGCAGUGGUGAGGCCACGUCUUGAGUGCUGUGUCCAGUUCUGAGCCACUCAGUUCAGGAAGGUCACUGAGUUGCUCAAAAGUGUCCAGAGAAAGGCAACAAGGCUGUUGAAGGAUCCAAAGUACAAGUCCUACAAGGAGCAGCUGAGGGAGCUGGGAUUGUUUAGCUUGGAGAAGAGAAGGCUCAGAGGAGACCUUACUGCUCUCCACAAUUAUUUGAAAGGAGGGCACAGCCAGGUGAGGCUUGGUCUCCUCUCCCAGGCAACCAGUGACAGGACAAGAGGACACAGUCUUAAGCUGUACCAGAGGAGGUGUAGGUUGGACAUUAGGAAGAACUUCUUCAUAGAACGGGUGACUGGGCACUAGAAUAGGCAGACCAGGGAAAUGGUGGGGUUAUCAUCCCUGGAGGUGUUUAGGGAAGACUGAAUGUGGCAAUUGGUGCUAUGGUCUAGUUGACUGCAGGUCAUGUUAGGUCAUGGGUUAGACUCAAUGAUCUCAGAUGUUUUUUCCCACCGAAUUAAUUCUGUGAUGCCUGAGGAGGCUGUGAACUCAUGGGAGACCCAUGGAGGGAGAAGCCCCCACUGGAGCAGCCUGUCCUUGGAGGACUGCACCUUGUGGAAGAGUAACCCAUGCUGUAGCAGUUUUGGGAGGGACUCACAUUGCAGCAGGUCACUGAGAGCUGUUGCUCGUGAGAUGGACUCACAUCAGAGAAAUUAAUGGAGAGCUGUCUCCCACAAUGCAGGAGGGAAAGGUCCCCUCUCCCUGAGCAGCAGAAGAAAUAACUUGUGACGAACUGACCAUAGCCCAUAACCCAUUUCCCAUUUCUCCGUGCCAUGGAAGGAGUAGGUAAAGUUGGGAGAGACAGAGGGAUGGGGGGAAAGCAUUUUUAAGGUCUUAUUUUACUUAUAAUUAUCCUGCUCUGAUUUUUUAGUAAUAAAUUCCAUUACUGUCUCAAAUUGCACCCUCUCUUCCCAUGAUGGUAUUUGGUGAGUGAUCUCUCCUGGUCCUUAUUUCAAUUCAUGAACAUUUCAUUACCUUUUCUCUCCCCUGUGAGAGGUCUAGCUGUGGAGAAAAGUGAGAGAAAGGCUUUGGCUGAUGCCUGGCAUCCAGUCAGGGUCAACACACUACAAAGAGCACCACUUUUCUAUUAAGGCUGAGCUUAAAAGAUUAUACAAACCAUUGGAAAGUAUAUAUACACUGUUUGUGUUGCAGUCUGCUUAGCCUCCAGUGCACAUGCAAAGGCCAAAUCAUUUGAGAAAAUGCUCUGCUGUGGAAACUAUUUCCAAAAAUAAGGACAGAUCUUCUAAAUCCGUGUUGACAUCCAUUAAGAUGAUGAGCUGAGAAGUACUGAAGUGCUUUAAGAUUUGGACUUCAGUGACAAGUUGGGUUUCAGAUAAUAGUUUCACACGUUAAACAACAGAAUAACUCAAGCAUUACAGUCAAGCUGAACCAGGGAAGGCUGGGACCAAGGUAGGACAGAAAUGAAGCAUCAGUAAUCUCAGGGGACAACUCUUAAAUUUUCUUCCUGCAAGUGAUGUCUAAAUCCUGAAUAGUAUCUCUACCGAUGUUGCACUGGUUUCACAGAAAUCAAACCUUUACCCCAUAGACACAAAGCUUCAUGAACUGAACAGAUGAUUUUUUCACAUCAGCUUUUUCUAUGGAAGAGUAGGAAAACCAGUUCCUUUUAAGACCUGUAAGUCUCUCUGAUAUCUCUAAGAUGCUUCAUUAAAGAUUUGUUCCUACAAAGAUUUUUGAAAGACUGCAUCGGCAAUAAUCCAUAUGAGGGAUUAACCACAGGGUUAAUGAAAGUCUGAAACAAAGAGCAGUAUGGCAAUGUGAUAGAAUCUCUUACUGUAACUGAAUUUCAUUAUUUAAAUGGGGACCACAGACACCCAUCAGAUUUCCACCCAGCUGAAGAAGUGAGAGAGCAGCUCUGCCAUCCAUAGCCACGGACAGUAACAGAAAUGCAAAACACUAUUACUCUCACUCAGUUGACUGUACGUACAGCUGCAAAGUACAGAUGGUUUUUAAGUCAAAGGCAAUAUUAUUAAUUUAUUUUCAAAACAUCUUAAGAACACACAGCAAAAAAUAUGAUUCUCAAGUGAACACAGCAGCAUUAAAAAAAAAGGCAUAGCAAAAUCUACCAAGAAGCCAACCAGUCCUCAAGGUUUCACGACUGUCCUCUGUAAAAUGCUAAUGAGCAUUCUUCUGCUUGAAUUUCACUAAUCAUUGCAAUUAAAGGAAAAGAAAAAUAACUAAUCUAGAGCAUUGCCAAUUUAGCCAAUCUAGAGCAUCACCUAGAAUCUGACCUUUUGCUUUGGUCAUGAAGCAAAUUCUCAGAGAUGGGUUACAUGACUGCACUUCAUUUGCUCAUUUCAGGAGAAUUUUCUGUAUUUUGUUAUUGUGAAGACAUAUGGCAGAGAUGAAGCAAAGCUUCCCAAAUAGCAACACUGAGAAACUAUUAAGAUGACCAGAUACAAAAACAUGUUGAAUUCAUGAUGUCUCAAAUUAUUUCUCCUUUUUGCUCUUAAUUUUUGUAAAAGACUGUAACCCAUAUUUCACACAACAACUUGACUUUAAAAAUUUAUUUGAAAUAUCCCAGCAAAGACUAAAACAUACUCACAGCCCAAUAUACAUCAGUGAGCCAAUUCUUGGUGCUUUGUAUUUCAAUAAAACUUAUCCUGGGAAGAUAUCCAGGUUUUUUAAAAGUCAGUUAAUUUAGACUCUUGAAUGAGAGGGUCUAUACAAUCAUACUCUGGAUCAUAAAAGUUAAAAUGAUCAUCCAAGGACAAACAGUAGCAAAUAAUGAAAAUCCACUGACUUCCUGGUUUGCAACCUGUUUACUCAGCUGUACAUUUUCAAUAUUUCACCCAAGAUAAAUAGCUGUAAAAUAACAGCACGCUCCAGCUGUUCUAUACAGCAGAACAUAAGCUGUUUCUGAAACUUUCAGUAUGA